UGUUCAUCUGUAUGUAAAACCUGUUCGUCUUCGUGCACGGAGUGUGACGUUCUGAAUCAGAAAUGCACUGUGUGUCGAGAAUGGAGAUUUGGAGAAAUGUGUCAACUUAAUUGUCCUCGUCACUGUAACAUGUGUGACAUUAACAACGGUACAUGUCUGCAAUGUGAAACCGGUCAUACAGGCGAAAACUGCACAGGUAAGUAAAAAGGAUAUAUAAUUAUUUAAUUUCCGCACAUUCGAGGAAUACGCUUUGAAGUGAGAGUUAAAAGGUGUUGAAAGCAAAUAACAAUUUCAAAUCUUAUUAAAUUAUUUCUUGCUAUUUAAUUUACCGUAUCUACGUAGUGUACAAUAUGCUUUCGAAUUUCCGGUAAAAAUACAGGUAUGCUGAUGACGUUUGUUUUAUGUAUGAAGUAUGACACGCCGUCAACUUUUUACAGCAAGAUCAACCUUCACAGAAUUUACUGAUAUAGAACAGUCACCCGGAUUCUUUAAAGUUCUAAAAAUAUGUCUUUGAACAAUUUUGCACUUAUAAAAACAUUUUCUUUUUGUUAUUUUCCAUGCAUAUUAUGAACGAUUUCAAUGUCAUGGUGUAGUAUCAAAUUUCCACCGCAAAUAUUAGAGAUGAAAAUGGUGUUAUACACAACACCAAGAAAGCAAUUUCAAUCGAUGUUUGACGAGCAAAUUUACAACAGCUUUUAACUCCAUAUGUAGCGGUAAUGAAUAGCGCUGAACAGUUAUGAUGUAUUUCUCGUGACACAACUAAAGACAUGUAUAUGUUGACGUCACAAGCGUGAAGUACUCUGAAGUUCUUUUCCUGGAAAACUGUGAAUCUUCCCGGGGAAUGUGAUAUUUAAGGACGACAGACCUAAUUUGUUUCUACAACACAGAAUUUUGAUACCAGUAUACAUCAGUUUGAUUCACGUCAUAUGUACGUCUUUGGGUCUGUCGUCCUUAAGCUACGGAGGUCUGCAUCGCGUGUUUCAUCACUUUGAAGCGGGAGAUGUGCUAGAAAUAGAAAUAGCUGAGUAUUUCAGACGCCGAAACACAAACCCAGACACACAAACAGAGGGAGCACCCGUCAGAAAUUGACCAUUUCUCUACUUUUUUAGCGGUGAAUCAUUAACAAUGUAGGUGGAAUACACUCAGACAGAUGAAUCUGCCACCAGUUCCAUAAUCAGAUACAAUCCUGCAAAACCCCGUAUGACAGCACUGCUGCCUGGAGUUGUUUUAUGCAGCGUUGAUGCAGAUGGCGACAACAAGGUCCCAGUGAUCCUCAGCAAUCACGACCAAAGCAGUGUGAAUCUACCUCCAGAGAUAACACCAGGCGGACUCAGUAGAGAACGACAUGAAUAUUUAUACAGACAUAUCAGACCACAUGUCCGGGAACGUUUCAGGGACAUAACAUGUCCAGAUUCUCACGGAGAAUAAGUGAAAUUUACAGUUGUUUCAGAGAACGAUUAACGUCAUUUAAACGUCAUUUUUGUAACGUCAUUGAAAUAUUAUCUUAACAUUUGACAGCCUAUAUCUCAGUAAAUAUGCUGAAUAUUUGAACUAAACAUCACACGUGUCUUUUUAAUGUUGUUGGCUAUCAUAUGUCAUUAAAAAGUUAAUUUUGAUAAUUUUUA